ACAACCCUCAGGCCCUAGUGCCUGGUGUUGGGGCACUACAGCAUGCUGUAGGCCCUGAAAUCUAGUGGCGGGACCGCUGUAAACCCGGGCGUAGUAACUUUACGUCGUCCAGGGUGUUCCGGCGCGCCCCAGCCGUUAAACCCACCAUAUUAUCAA
rnacentral:misc_RNA from 1 species